AAAGGCACUGCGCACCUUAUCGCAAGAAGAACGUGAAUGUGUGUUUUAUAAUAUCUUUAAGUAGCUUUUUCAUGAUAAUGGUUAUUUCAUGUGGGCAUCAAAUUUGUCUUUCUGUACAUCAGAUACUACAUUUGGAGCAUUGGUGAUUUUUAUAAAAAUGCAGAAACUGAGGAAAUAAAGGACACAACAAAAACACCAGAUUUGAAAAUGCCAGAGGCUCUCUUGUAGAGAAACUGAAGUUUUCCAUUCCCGAGUUUCCACCAGUUUCAGUGGGACCAGAACUGAGUCUCGAGUGAUUAGGAUAGCGACAGAACGUAUAUAAUACUGUCUUAUUUUUGUUGUGUCCAUUAAUUAUUUCUAAAAUUCUGAGAUUAAGAAACAUAAUUUUGUAUUCGUGUUUGAAUAUUGCUAGUUCACCUAUACAAAGAUAUUAACCUGUAAAUUAUGGGACAAUUGUUUAUAAAGGCUUGAAAUCCAUGGCUAGAAAGAUGAUCAUGUGCUCCCUCAUGUUAAAGGUGAAUAAUAAUAGAGCAGCAGUCUUGUUUUAUGGUAAUCUGGUGUUGAGUACUGUUGGCAGCUGAACAGCAAAGAGUUUUCCAAAGACUUUAAAUAAUCUUAAAGCGGUAAAUGAUGACUGGUGUGAACUUGUUGAAGCUUUUGGCCAUCAUGGAUUGCAUACUUCGGGUAUUUCACAUCUACUUUUGCCUCUCAGCCUUCUGAAUACUGAUGAAUAAACUAGACUCUAUGAAAAAAGGAUUAACAUACAAGUAUGACAUUUGAAGAUGGCCAAAUAGAUUAAAGAUCAUGUUGAUGACUCAUAUAUGAGUUACCCUGUGAUCCACUCAGACUGAUCUUUCCCCUCAAUACCUUCUAAAAUGAUCCCUGGUUUCCCACAUCCUGUGAGUAUCCUUUGGUCCACAAAUCCACCCGUGUACCUGGGAUUAUAACCGUGUUUUCCACUGAGUGUAGCUAGUGAACAGGCUAGAGUUCACGCAUUUUCUACAAGAGUAAAGAAUUUGAAGUUCUGGUGAUCUGUCAUGGGGAACCAUGUAGGAAAGCGAGAACAUAGCACUGAGAAGCCAGCCAAGAAUGCUGAAACCAA